CUUGAUCGAGCCGAGGUAGAGCGGCUCCUCGUCGCGCUCCUGGCCGUAGGUGGCGAGCAGCGCCUGGGCCUC
rnacentral:antisense_RNA from 1 species